rnacentral:rRNA from 1 species
UCGACGGCAGCAUAGGUGCUUGCACCUGAUGGCGAGUGGCGAACGGGUGAGUAAUGCAUCGGAACGUGCCCAAUCGUGGGGGAUAACGCAGCGAAAGCUGUGCUAAUACCGCAUACGAUCUACGGAUGAAAGCGGGGGACCUUCGGGCCUCGCGCGAUUGGAGCGGCCGAUGUUAGAUUAGGUAGUUGGUGGGGUAAAGGCUCACCAAGCCGACGAUCUAUAGCUGGUCUGAGAGGACGACCAGCCACACUGGAACUGAGACACGGUCCAGACUCCUACGGGAGGCAGCAGUGGGGAAUUUUGGACAAUGGGCGAAAGCCUGAUCCAGCAAUACCGCGUGCAGGAAGAAGGCCUUCGGGUUGUAAACUGCUUUUGUACGGAACGAAAAGGCUCUUUCUAAUAAAGAGGGCUCAUGACGGUACCGUAAGAAUAAGCACCGGCUAACUACGUGCCAGCAGCCGCGGUAAUACGUAGGGUGCAAGCGUUAAUCGGAAUUACUGGGCGUAAAGCGUGCGCAGGCGGUUUUGUAAGACAGGCGUGAAAUCCCCGGGCUC